rnacentral:snoRNA from 1 species
AACCCAUGGUGAAGGCACUCUCUUCGGUACUCCUUGUACCUUUCUCAAGCUUCGCAGAAAGCUUCACCAGGUUUCUGUCUGAACAAAAAGAUCUUAUUCCUCAGAGC